UGCUGGUGAAAAUGAGUUUGACACCCCUGCAUUAAGUAAUGUGCUUCAUUUUGCUGAGUUCACUUUUUCUCUUUAAACACUCUUCAGUCAAAACUAAGUAGGGAAUAAGGGGAGAAGUGCGUAUAAUCUUGAUUUUUGGACAGGCAAAACCAUUGCUAUAGAAAUUUUUAUGAUUUUAGAACAAGGCUAAGUUCUCUGGAAUUUAUUUCAUUAAAGUUAAAUAAAUUUGGAUAAAGAAUGGAUUUGUGUCUCUGUGAACAAUCCCAGGAAAUCUGAGUUGAAUUGAUGACCCUGACAUUGGCAUUACCUUACCGUGCUUUCACUCUUCCAUCUGUAAAAUGAGGAUUUCUUUAAAGCCUUUGGAGAUCUUUGGCUGAGAACUUUGGCUAUAUUCUGUAAGUGACGCUUCUUUACUUUCCAGAAGCCUUUUCAGACUUCCAUUAAAAAAAUGAAUGUGUUCAGCUUUUGGUACUGGCACUUAAGAGGCUUCAGUUUUGCUAAACCUGUGAGAUCUCUUCCAAAAAUGGAUGAUGAGAGAUGGGCUCUUCCUUUUGCAGCCCUUGGUCUUCCUGCUGAGCUAGAGAAGGUUGUGUUUUGCCUACUAGCAGAAACAUCCACCAGUAUUGGCGCUUCUAGGGAAUGAGUGCAACAGUUGCCUUGCACUUAGUGAAGCUUGUAUAGGGCUCUCUUCAUAGAGCGGUUUUGGAGUCCCAAUAGAGAGCUAAGUGCCUUUUAGAAUAUGUCUAAAUUAAUGAAGGGAUUAAAGGAUGUUGCUGCUUACAAUAGCGGAGAGCUGUUCUUAAUGGCAUAGAAUAGUGGUUCGGAAGGGAGUAGGUCUGACUACACCAUCACAUAAAAACAAGGAGAAAAGAAAUUAAAUUUGCUUGAAGAUCAAAAAUCCUGCAUUUGUAGGAGAGGAAGAUAAAGAAACUGAGAAUCCUUAUUAUGUUGUGGCAGUUUCUUGACUAUCAGAGUAAAGAUUUUCUCAUUAUCAGGAGGGUUUUGUUUGUUUGUUUUAAUAAGUAAUGAUUUUAAAUGAGGGUUCAGUAAAGUUGCUGUUACAUAAUAUUUAACACUGAAACAUCCCAAGGUUUUUGUGCGACUCCCUUGGCAUGGAGUCAAAUAGGGAUAAAGUACUUAGUUUCUGCGUUUCUUAAAAUGACUUUUUCAUCAUGCUGGUGUCUCAGGGGAACACUCUGGGCCAGACUGACAGUGGAGUUCCAUCAAAGCCUGCCAUCCCAAUGGAAAUGGGAAUGAGUAGACAACUUCCAUUAGAGGACACCAUUGGGAUUACAGCAGCGUGUCUCAAGUUCUGUUUGCGUUGCAAAGAGUAAUUGCAUGUCGCUAGAACGUGUCCCACUUUGCUGCAUGGUAGAAAUAGUCGAUAUUGGCUUGGUGGAGGAAGGAAAGAGAAUUGCAUACUGCAAGUGGGAAAAGCUUUAGACCCGUAUUUCUGUCUUCUGGCACAUUGUGAGAUACUUCCUUGUGGAGGACUUUAAAAGCAUGCGUGCUUCUGUUCUCAAUGAUGUAUAGCCCUAUGUGUUUUCCAAGUUUUGAAUCUAAAAUUGUAUUCUGGUAUUUUUUCUGAUAUGCUUUUAAAACCAAGGUUUUCAAACUUCAGCUGCUUACUUUGGGAAACAAUUCCACUGCCUAUUGAAAUUUACUGUAAAGUGUCUUUAUCCCAACGGUCUGUUUUUUCUUAAUUUCUUCCUGUUAUACUUUAUUUUAAUCCACAAAAUUCCUAGUUUCACAUCUUGAAAUAUUUACAGAUUUUACGUAAACUUUUUAUGUCCUCUUCAUUUUAGGUAUCUUGGGGUCUUUGGAUGUCUGACCUGUGAACCCCUGUAUUAUCUUCCCACACAAAGAUGAUUGGGACUGAUUGCAUAGUCCUAAACCGAUCCUUUCCUUAUACGUAUAUAUGUACAUCUUCCACAUAUGCCUUUACCUGCAUAGCCUAAUCACCAUUUGGUAAUUUGUUGCCAAAGCAGUUGGCAAAUUUGUGUUUCACAAAUACCUUUCACAGGUCAUUUCUGAAAGUUUUUUGCCCUGCUCUGGUGCCAAAAUGCAAGGUAGCUAAUUUGAACCCUUAAGACAUAUUAGCACAGAGAAAGGUGAUUGCAGGGAAGGGAAGGUGAAAGAAGAGUAUCUGGGUAGUCUGUGCACCUUAGGAGAACCUGUGGUAGCCUGGGCCUGCUGCAGUGAGCCCUGAGGCUACUGGCAGUUGGCAUCUCAGCUCCUCUGUGUUGUGCUGGGUGGCUGGACCACCACGAAGCAGCUCCAGGGUGGGUAACAGACUGCAAAAGUUGAUAUAAAACUGCAACUGCAUUUUGUUCCCUGUCUUUGCCAAGUAUUCUGUGGUGAAAGCUACAAUCAGCAUCGCUGUCUCCCCGAGCGCUCCUUAGGAGACUGUAGAGCUCAGCUGGCGGCGUGCACCUUAUGCAGCCCUUUGUAACUGCACAGGCACUGCCAGCCUCAUGGAAACUUCUGUUCACUUUGCUCUUUUUGGACAAAGCUGAAUGAUCCUGCAGAAUAUGAGAAAAUUGACAUAUUUCUCUAUCUGAUAUAUUUGCUUACAUUUUUCAAGAUGUCUUCUUUUUAUCUCUAGUUGAGAUUGCUGUCGUCCCAAGUCCCAAUGUGGUGUUCGUCUUUUCUCUUAGCCACUCAGGAUGUUUUCCCAGUCUGCAUUUCCUUAGCCUAUUCGUUAUAGCAUUUUCCAGUGAGAUCAUUGGUGAGAUAUAUAAAGGCGGCUUAUAGGAAAGAUGAAGAGAGACUUUUUAUCAAGGCCUGUAGUGACAGGACAAGGGGCAACAGUUUUAAACUGAAAGAGGGUAGAUUUAGAUUGGACAUAAGGCAUUUUUUACGCUGAGGAUGGUGAGACACUGGAACAACUUGCCCAAAGAAGUUUUGGAUAGACCUUCAUUGGAAGUUUUCAAGGCCAGGCUGGACAGUGUGUUGAGCAACCUGGCCAAGUAGAAGGUGUCCCUGCCUGUGGCAAGGGGGUUGGAAUAGAUGAUCUUUAAAGGUCCUUUCCAACCCAAACCAUUCAGUGAUUCAGUCCUAAAUAUAAUUUCCCCUAUUUGAUCGGUAUUUGGAUGUUGGAAUUUAUGUCUAGUUUUUGUUGACUGGUAUAAUGUUUAACGUUCUAUUCAAGUUAUCUGAAUUCAGUUCUUCCUUCUCUUCCUCUUUGUGGGUACUAAUGCUUGACUCAGCUGUACAGGUCAGGUUCUUGUUGCUUCUUUUGUCAGCCUACGAGGACACUGAUGGGAAAGUGCUUGUUGUACCUUGCGUUUCUGUCAUAUGCUUCUGGCUCAGAGGGAUGCUUUGUGUUGUUUGCUUAGCUGGAGGAAGAAAGCAUUUAAUUUUCAAACCACCGGAGAGAGAGUGUUCUGCAAACCAAACUUCUUUUUACCUAGUUGCAUUACUCUCCUUGAUGGCUUAUUGAUUUACUUUACUCAGCCAAGUUGGGCCGGGCCCAGCUUUCUGCCCAGUUAUGUGUCUCAGCGUCUUACAAUUUCACAUCUUAAGCAGGACUCAGACUUGUUCCUCCGUGCUGGGAUCAAGCUCUGUAACUGCAGGUUCUUUCUGUGCAUUUCUUCUGGGCUCAUGAUGAGCAAACAUGAUGUAGGUGUUUUACCUGCAGGCAAAAGCAGCGGGUUCCACCCCAGACAUUGGAGACCUUCUCAGCCAUGUGUGGGAUUUCUGCUUCUACAGCAGCCUGCUGCUUCCCCUGUGGCAUUGUGCAUCUGAAGAGGAACAGGCACAGAGAUUACUCUGAAUGUUUACUGUGUAGGUGCUUCAGGCCUCUUCUCUGCUGAGUUUGUGUUGAGGACGUGCAGGCUGAGGUAUCCUGAGCAUAGAUCUCUCCAGCCAUUACAUUUCCUUCAGGAGAUUUCUUUCUUUAUCUAACAGGAGCAUGUAGCUUGGUGUUCAGAGUUUGUGAUGUUGUCUAGCCAUGCAUGUUUAAGUUAGGGCAAAAUUUCAUUCCACUUUUUUAAGAAAAGCCGUUCAUUCUGGGCCAGUCUUAUGAUGAUGUUUGCUGAGGUGGUGAAGCUGGUCAGAAGAUGUGCUUUGAGCUCCUGAGCUGAUCUGACAGCUCACUGCUGCCGAAGUGCUUUAAGUAUCAGAAUGGGGCCUGGAUGUCAGGUGAGCAUGAGAAUAAGUGGGACAGGAGAUGUGGGAGUGGAAGAAUUGAGUGCAGCAGCCCCGCUUUCCCCAGCAGCUUUUGAGAUGUUGGCCUGGCUCAGUCUUUCCUAAGGUGUCAGCAGCUCUGUCACUGGCAGAGGCAGACCUGCCUUGCUCCUGGCCACUUGCUUCCCAUGUGUUGGCAGCUAACUGACCCCCUUGAGCCAGCUCAGCUCACUAAACCUCCCAAAAACCAAACUAUUUAUAUAAAUGUGAAUUUUCCAACAGGUCAGCUCAGCACUAGAGCCUGUUCGAGGAGGUAGCACAGUGUCUUUUCGAGGAGCGAGCUUCAGACUGACCGCUGUCCUGUGAAACAACCACCUGUCCUGGCUCCUUCCCCUAAACAGAGGUUUUGCACUCGACCAGUGAGCACCAUUUGAUUGCCUCUAAACCUAAGAAAAAAAUAGUGAUUUAGCUGCACCUAGAUCUCUUCUAGCGUAGAUGAAGCUCCAGUGGAGUAUUACAAAAGCUGCUUUGACAUUCAUGCUUCCUUUUUGACAGAAUAGUUACUGUGUUUUUAAGUAACAUCUCACAGCGCACAUGGCUGUAUAAUUUACAAAUUGCAUAUUGCUAGCCCAGAACACUAAACUUUGUAUUCAGAUACUGUGAUACUAUUUGUACUGCUUUGUUAGAGCAUGAAUUUCCAGUCUGAGAAAUAGGGAUAUUUUCCCUAUUUCUGUUGCUGGAGGUGGACUGUCCUCAGCAGAAGACAACACUGUAGUUCAUACCAGAAUUUAGCUUUUAUGCAGUAAUAAUUAAAAUAAAAAAGUGUGUAUUUAUUUGCUGGCCAAUUAUCCCAGUUUUUAAGAUUGGUCUUCACUGGAAGACAAAAUGAAGAUAAAUGCAACAAGAAAAUUAAGUUAUUAAUGUACUCUUUGCUUCUAGCUUUCACUUCAUUUGAUUGUAAAUUGUUUGCAGUAAAAUUGCAAAUUAGUGGCUUGGAUAAAGCUCUAUAAAUUCCUUCAAUAUCAGAUUUAAAUUAGGAGGAAUUGGGCCUCUAACCUUCACAGAGUAUAACUGUAGCUGGAUGCAUUCCUAGGGGCUAAUUAUCCAUUCCUCCAUAUCAUUUGCUUGAACUCUCAAUUGCUCACUGUUGGCGCGAUUGCACAUUGGGUAGAUGCUGGAAAAUGCUGAAGAAAAUGUGAGCUGGAAACUUAGGCAGGGAGAUGCUCUCAUGACCAAACAUGGGUUGCGGAAGACUUGCCAUGUCCCACAGCAGGAUUCCGAAUGGGACCAACCCCCGUUGCUUUCCAAGGGUAGUACAAAAUUUACAUCCUGAGCUGGCAGAAAGAGGGACAAGCAUUACACUGAAGGUAGGUUUUCUCCAUUUUGUAAGAAGGACAGGUUGAAAUAGCCAUCCUUCCUGGAAAGGGAAAAUACCGUCAGUUGUCUCCGUACCUCUUACCUAGGUACAGAGGAAGCAUCCUAAAAUGUAGGCAAGGUAAAUUUUGGCUUACUGUGAGAUAUUACUACUGUCACUUCAUUUCUUUCAUGACCAAGAUAAUUUCUUCCUGUUCAUCACAUAUCUAAAAGAGCAAGUCUUCCAUUCUCAGGCCUGUGAAGCAAGAUCUUUUGUUUCACCUGUGUUGCUUUUACUGAAAGCCAAAGUGAUAGAAUAAUCUUCAUGGGCAAUAUUCCAAAUUUUUAAAGAACAGCCAUGGAGAGGGAGAUGCUUUUCUAGAGUGUCUGGGUGUGUUGUGCCUGUGACCAGCCCAGAGGGAAGGAUUGAUGGCCAGAGGUGCAUCUGUGUGUGCUCAUUCUAGCUGGGUAUAUGGGAAGAGGGUGCUUCUGUGAUGCAGAAAAUUCAGGCUCCAGUUUGUGUGCAUAAAUAACUGAAUCUGGGUAUUGAUUACAGACCAUAAUUUGUUUGGAGAGUCAAAGAUUAAAAGAACUCUUGUCUUCCUGUCAGAACAAUUUUGUCUGCAUUCUGCUGUCAGAUAAAUCAAAUUGCAUAAUGGGGGUUUUGUGUGGAAUUUCCAAGAACAAAUAAGAAGAUGCUGAUAUUAGACCCAUACUUUUUUUUUUUUUUUUUUUUUUUUCCUUCUUAUAUCAUGCACUCUUUAUGUCUAUGGAAGAGCUUCUGCUCCCUUUACUUGUCAGGUUUAACUGCUUUUGUGUGCUAUGUGGUGGCUCCUGUGAGCUGCAUGGGGUAUUAGUCUGGUUGUCAGCAGAGAAGGUUUCUUUACCUCGGGCAUUCGAGAUACAAUGCUAGUCACAUGUCCUGCUUUUUGGACUUUGAACUUCUAUCUAAUUCUAACUUAUUUUCCCUGAUCCAAUGAUCCUUCAGCCUGGAAAGGAUAAGGAGCAACACUCAUCUACUGUCAGCUUUGUUCAAGCUGUGGGGAAGUACAGUAGUUGCUGUUCUGUUUUUGAAACAACAGAAGCAAGAGCAAAAUGCUUAAAUAGAAAGGUGAAAAAUAAAAGCAAAACUCGAGGCAAAUCCUAUUUAUCUUUUUCACUAGGCAAAUGUAGCCGUACAGUCUGUGAGUACACUAUACAUAGAGCUUGUGUGGGAAUGCAUUUGGAAGGAGAAGAGGUCACCUGCAAUUGUUAACACUGUCAUUAAGCUGAAAUGAAACAGGGAGAUAAAAGAAAUGGAGAUUUGGGGUUGAGUUUUGUUGGUUUGGGUUGUUGUUGUGUGGUGUUGGUUGGCUUGUUUGUUUUUACUGCUUUUGUUCUGCAAAGAUGAGGAUGUCUUAUUUGUGGCUCUAGCUUUAGACACAGUUUGUGUCCUCCUUAAUAGUUGCUUAUUUUUUAAAAUUAAGUUAUAUUGGUUUAACAGUAUGCAGAAGCCAAGUCUCAGAGAAGUGCUGGAUGGCCCUGGCUUUUUUCAAUUGGAUAUAUUGUCACUAGAACAGUUAAAUUUCACCCGUGCCAGGGUAGUGUACCCAGUACACAGUCCCAUCAUACGCUGGCUCUGGAGCUUUUAUUGCUUAUGCUGUCACUGCAUAUUAAGAAUUAGUGAGCAAUGUGCACUAGAUUGUUUUAGACAUGGUCUAUAUAUUAUUCUUAACGUACCCUGACAGACUGUGCUAUCCCAGCUGCGCUGUGUUGGUAGCACUGGAAGGAAUAUCAGCCGCUGUUGUUAGGUCUGGAAUAUAGGUUCAUUUAUAGCCUCCAAUUCCUAUUUAUACAGAGCUUUAUGAAACAGGCAUCUGUUGGGAAGAUUGUUUCUGUCCAGAGGUGAAUCAGUCUAGAGACUUGUCAUCAAAAGUAACUUCCAAAUUCUGCACAGAUUUUAAAAAACCCAUGUAUCACCCGUAUUUUGUAACGAGAAAUGUCUUCAAAUGUGCCUUUACACACUGGAUUUCCUAAGGAGCAAGAAAACAUAUUAUUUUUAAAUAAAAUACUAUCUUUUGGCAGAAAACAGAAGCGAGAACGCUUGAUGAGUACUGAAUUAGGCAAUGCUUGUUCCUCAGUUGUUUGUGAAAUCGGUGGUAUAAUAGACCAGUCUGUGCUUAGGGGGCCUGAUCCUAUUGCUCUUGGACCAUUUGAGUCAUUUGUGGACAGUAGAUAGACAAACAUGAGAUCUCUCAUUUUGAAGCAGACAAAUAAAUGAAUUUUUGUGAGUAUUUGCUACUCAUCUGUCUUAUGUAUCUCCUGUGUAUCUCAUGUCCAUAGGGUGGAGUGAAAAAGACUCCAGUUCGCCAACUCAGAUCUUUGGGCGAAGGCAAAGAGAGAAGCUGGCUAUGGCAGCUGUAAGUGGAGGUGAAGUCCAUAAAUGGGGAAAGAUGAGGAAGAUUUUAAAAAGUGAAAAAUAGGGACAUGAAUGAUAAACAUGAAAAGAAAAACAUAGGGAACAGGACAAAGGAGGAAGUGAAACAUAAGGAAACUCAAGUGCGAAUGUCAAAGAAAAGAGAAAAUGAGGAAAGCAAAUAGAAGAAAGCAGAAAGAUGAUGUAGCCGCCAAGUCUUUUUUAAAGUAUGUAAAAUGAGAAGUGUUUCAAGUUGUGAAUGUAUAGAAAUGAAUAUGCAGUUUGAGCCUUUUAAAAUAUAGGUUGUAAUCUUGAGUUUUUCAGCUCAAAUUGGAGACCUGUGGGCUUAGUGGAGCCGUAUCCCAUUUGGUUGUACUAACAGAUGGCCACAUUGGUGAUACCUCGCACAGAGCAUUCCUCCAUCUGAUCGCUCCUCUGCCCGGGCUUGUCCCUGUUCUGCCCCAUGGCCAACAGUGAUAAAUGGUGAGGUCUCGAGCUGGUUCUGCUGGUGGCUGCCUGGGAAAUGGUGAAUUGAGACAGAUCAGAAAUUGUCAAUCCUCUCGAAGGUGUGAGCAUCCUCCCACACUGUCAGAUUUGAAUAUUUAAUCUAGAGACUGAAGUGGAGUCGAAAUGCAGCUCCUUUGGCAAUGAAAACCUCCUUUGAAGUUCUUGGAUCUUCUACAUUCCAUGUUUCCUGUUUUAAAUUAAAAGAACAAAGUGCUCUGGAAGAGCGCACCAUGAGCACCCUGCGAAACCUGCACCUCCGACAUCUGGCCGGCUGAUGUGAGGAGCCAGACAGGAGGAGGAGGUCAGGGCCAUUCCAUUCAUCUUCCCGUCAGACAACCUGCCCAAGGUAACAGAAGGUCAUGCAAGUCAGAGCUAACAUGGUUGGUCGUGUCCUCAAUUACUAGACUAAAGGCUUCAUAAAGAAAGUUUACUCCUGUGUUUUGUUGAUGAAGGUGAUGAAAUACCCCACACUGGCUGUUGUAGGACUUACAGUGAUGAUCUCUUGGAUAGAAAAAGCCCCAAAUUCAUUGCACCUGCUUUUCUCUGAACUUCAUAGGUCAAUAUUAAUCCAGCUCAACAUAGGCAACAGGAUUUAUGAUCCUUCCUAAACUGUGAAGCUUUUUAGGAUGUGCCUGUUUUGCAGGCCUUGGAAACACCCAGGCUGGAUGAGGUUUGUGGCAUUAAAGCUGUGUGUCAAAAAAAAAUAAGGAAUCGAAAUCAACUUGAAACUUGCCAAAUUGCACUAGGUCUAUGAUAUUGUUUUGAGUCUAGACUCAGGAUGGAAAUCAUUUUAACAACACUGAUUAAUCUUUCACUCUGGGCUGAGCAAUGUCUUUUCAUCUUCAUAUACUACUUUGGAGCAUUCUGUGUUGGACUGAGAUCGUGCUGUCCUCGUGCAGAAAGUGGCAGAAAGCACUGUGUAGAUUCCAGCAGCACAGCAGGGCAGAGGGCAAAUAGCUCAACUUACCUUUCACCAAAACUGUUGCUGCCAUGUAGGGUUGGACCAAACCAGCUUGUAGAGUGGGGAUCAGGUAGCUGAAGUUGGAUCUAAGCAAGGCAGAGGUGAGGCCAGAGAAGGAGAGCUGGAGCAUGCCUUUGGCCAACUUUCCAUUGUCCUCUGCAGUGCGUAGAUAAGAAACACCAGUGGAUUCUUCUGUGCUGCCUAGUUCUUGAGUGGCAACCUCCGUGAUUAAUGAUUUCUGCCAUCUCUAGUUGGUGGGGACAUGCUGUCCUAGCUCGCUUAUUUUAUAGGACUCUCAUGUCCCACCCAGGCUAGAGCAAUGCGGUGGGCAUAAAGCCACGAGUUCUUGGGCAGCUGCAGUCACACAGAGCUGCAGCAUUUUCCCUCAGCAGUGCGUACUCAUGGUGGCACAACGCGCCGUUGCUUGUCUCUGAAGUGCCGCUGCGGCUGCGGGGCCAGCUGGCAGCCUGGGCAGGGAGCAGAGGCCCGUACUGCCUGCCAGCUUUUUGCUGACACCUAUUUUGUCAGACUGUCUAUCUCAGAAGGGAUCUGGAACAGCUCUUUUGCUAAAACAUCUGUUGUAUUUAUAAACCUGCGCUGAUGCUUGAAGAGGUGUUUGAAAAAUUGUAUAUGCCAUUUUUAGAUGAAGUUUGAAAAACCUGGUGUAUAUCAUAUAGAUCAUAUACUUCAUGUAUGAUCACAAACCUCAUAUAUCAUCAUAAAGCACUAAACAUCAUCACACGGCACGUGUACCUUUGCGUAUCAGGGAUCAAGGCUAUAGAUAAAGUGGCAGGAGAUGGAAAGAAAAUAAUCCCACUUUUGUUAAAGAUUCAGUGGUUCAAUAUUACCCUUAAAGUAAUUAACAGUUGUUUGGUCAGUGACUGGCAGGUUUUUAUUUUUUAUUAUUAUAAUCUAGUUGUUUUGCUUAUCUAAUUAUAGAAUUUAAUGAUUUCUUUUGCUGAAUGAUACAGGUGUUGACUUGCUGAUAGGAGUGACAGAUUUAUAUUUAUAUUGAAGUUGAUUCCGUAAGCUAAUAAAAAACCCCCUUCCAUAAGCAUACUGAAAGAGAGCUGAAGGCAUCCGAACUUUUUUCCUCUGGCAAAAGCUCCAUAAUGGUAACAGGCAAGAUUCUGUUUUUCUGCUGCUGAUGUUUGGUUGGGAACUUGUUCCUGAUUACAAAUCAGGAGCCAGGGCUGCUGUGGGAGAGGGUUUGGUGAAGGUUAUGCCUGCACUAGCAAUUAGUGCUGUGGGAGCAGAGCUGUAGCACCAAUUUGCUGGUCCUGAGGACCUAAUGUCCACAUGAAUGUAUCUUUGAGAUGCUGGAGCAGCUCUGGUUUGGUCCCACGUGCUCCAGUGGUUGCUGGAGUGCCUGGGGUGUGCUCCUGGAGAGCUGCUCCGGAUUUAGUCACACCUUGAAGGAACCCUCUUUGUGGGCUUCAAGGCCUCUCUUGGGAGAGCUGCUGAUCUGAGCUACAAAUUGGUGCAGACACAGCUGUUAAAUGUCUGCUCUUCUCUCUUGAGUAAGUAAAUUGAGGCUGUAGGAACAGGCUCUUGGAGGAAAUGGCAAUACUAGUUCUGACUUAUUGCUAGCUAAAAUCAAGGUCUGCUCAGAGUAAUACCUUAAAAAAAAUCUUUUUAUGUUGUUGACUUUGCUUCAGAUACAGGAGAAAAUGAGGAAGCUCUUUUUGGAGCUAAAACAAAAAGAAAAAAUGGAACUCAGCAUUAAAGCAAGAGGGUAAGAUGCCAGAAACGCAAGUAAAAUUAAUUACCUCUCUAGGAUAGCUGCAGAUAUUUUGACAUCGCCUACAAUGAGUAGGGCACUAGAUUCAAUAAGUGCCUGUGAAUUGACAGCAUAAAGCAGUUACAGUCUUGUACUAGUAUUCUUAAAUAUCUUUAUUAAAAAAAAAAAAAAAAUCUACUCCACCCACCCUAAAAUCAAAACUUAAUUACACAAAAUGAAGACAUUUCCUAAACAGGCUCAAUUGGAGCAUGUGCUGCCAGACUGGAGACUUCGUACCAGGAGAACUAUGUAAUGUUGAGUGUGUCAACAUAAAGGGAAUAAUCAAGGGACUGUAAAGAAAAACUGCUUCAACAUUUUCUUCCAAGUGAUGUGUUUACUACAGGCCCAUAUUUGAAAAGCUGUCAGUUUAAUAAAUUAACACAUUUCUGCUUAUUGUGCUAUGUUAUUCAAGUGUCUCAUAAGCAACAUCAACUCCUACAAACCUGAAGAGACUUUUCACAAAUCUAAGUCUUUAGAGAACUAACGCAAGUAACUUUGGGAAGUUGUUUUAUUGAAGGGGAAAAAGCCUUUCAAAAAAAGUAAUUUUUAAGUGCUCUGUUGUUUUUAGUAUUGUGACAGUCUAUCAUAUCUUGAGUUUGCAGCCAAUAUAAUUUUUUUCUUAACCUAACCUUAAUCUGGGAUGAAGGAAGCUGUAAAUGUGGUUUGCUUAACUUGUUCAAGUUAUUCUGCACUGAUUUGAACGUAAGAUAGUGCAAUUCCAACACUAUCAUCAACUGGAAAACUUCUGAAUUCAGGUUAAGCACAUUUUGCUCCUGGUCAUAUUGGCUGCUUAAAGUGUUCUUAAACACAGCUUGAACUGAUCUGGAUUUCUUAGUCUUCUGUCAUUUCACUCUUCUGCCCCCAUUUGUAUUCCUGCCCUCCAGCACAAUGUUACUCAGAAAUCCCUCAUUCUCCUGUGCUGUCAGGCCAGUGCCUUUGCUCUUUGAAAAUAUGUUGUUGCAAUUUCUACACAUCAUGGAAGAAAAUUACAUAAUCUUAAAAGCUAUUGCUGUGUUCCCUGCAUUAAAUAUUCAUAUUUUUACCCUUAUUUGCAUCCCCUCUCACGAGUAGUUCAGUGCAGACUGAUGUACCUUCUGUCAUGGGGGGCUGAGUCCUGGCCAGUGUCCUCAGCAGAAUAACAUGAAGUCCUGCCAAUCCUUCACUCUCAUUUUGGGAGAGGAUUAGCUUUUUAAUUGUUUUUACAUAAAUACUGAGAGCAUCAUAGCUUUUUAAUGUUAGUGCUUGCCGCAAUUUUUUUUUCCUUAAACACCAACUCAAUGAACAGAUUUUUACGAUUUGUAGCUGCUCAGUCAUUUUGUAUGGCUUUUUAAUCUCCAGAGGCCAGAUGGAAGCGUGAUCCUUCAGCAUGGUUUGUUUUGCAUAAUGUAGGGAUUGGAACUACAUUUGAAUAGCAUAGUCAAAGAUACGGUAUAACUAUGUAAAUAUUUUUCUUCUCCAUCCACAUAUUUUCUCUUUUAGUGUUUUGGGGUUUUUUUUGUAAUGAGUUUUCUACAGGGAAAACUGUCACAAGUAAAUGCUGUGCCCUGACAGAAGAUUCUUGCACAGAAGAGAAUAAUGAUUCUGGUCAAGGAGAUCUGAGACAAAACCUGCCACCCAAGUGCAGCAUAAAUAAGUUUGGCCACUGGGAAUACAGUACAGGGGUGGGACAACAAUCCCGUAAUUGAAGACCUACUUCUAGCACCAGCAUUGCGAAUUAAAUCCAUCAGAGGACUCUCAAAACCCAGGACAACUUGCCACCUCAGAGCAACUUAUGUGUUGAAGAGUGUAGAUGGAAGCAACAGUAAGUAGAUAAACAGAGGCUAAUACUGUGAUUGACAUUGGCAAUGGUUGGCAAAAAAAAAGAGGAAUAAAAGAAAAAAAAAGAAAAAGCUCUGAUAAAACUGUACAAAACAAUUCACAGUAAUAUUUUAGCUUUUCCACACCAGGAAUGGACUCUUUGUUUUUGUGUUUUCAUUACAGAUGCUCUCUAGUUUUUGAAAGUCAACCAGUGACUGCUGGUAGAGGUUGGAAGGGCCGGCUGGAGGGCGUCCGCUCCAGCCCCUGCCCCAGUGGGGCUGGGGGAGAGCGCGUUGCUUGGAGGGGCUGCCGGGACCUGCUGGCCCGGGGCUGCGCCAGCAGACUUGCCCGGGCAGCUUCUUUCAAGAGCUUUGUGGUAAAACAACCUGUUAACAAGAACGGUAACUUUUUUUUUUUUUUUUUUGCCUCCAAAGUGCUCCAAGAGCAGUUGGAGGAAAGUAAAGAAAAAAUUGCACCUGGUUUCAUUUCCAAAGUCGUAUUUUUGCAAAGCUGCCCCGGUCAAAAGUGUAGCCUUUUUAUGUGACGAGACAGCAAAUGCCUCUCUUGUCACUUAUAGUUUGUCAUCUUUGUCUUCUCCUUCGUAGUCUGUAGGUCUUUAGGAUCUGCUGCCCCAAGCCAACAUCCUGCACCACCAAGGACAAGGGAUUUUUUUCCUUUUUCUUUUUUUCUUUUUUUUUCUUUUUUUUUUUCAGGGGGAGGGAAAGGAGAACAUCGUCUACACGUUUGGACAAAUUCAUCUUUCUGCCCUUCACUUCAUAUCCACGUCAAAGUCCAACACCAGCAGCUUUGUUUCCUCAGUCCCGUUGCGGCUUCCAACUGCACACACCAGCUUUGUGUUAGAAGCUCUGAUCCGCCACACGACGCCUCCACUUCCCCCGCUCUCCAAUGUGACUAAAUUUCGGAUAAAUUCACCCGUUUUCAAGUCCCAAAGUUUUACAGUCCCAUCAUCUGAGCUGGUAAUUACAAAGUUCUUGUUGAACUGUAAACAGGUCACAGCACUCUGAUGCUUGUUGGGACCUGUAACAGUAAACCAAAAGCAUUUUUAUUUGUCAUUGGAAAGCAAUGUCAGCACUGCAUAUAAAAUAAAUACCUAGCUAUCUGCAUACAGCUUUUUUUACCUAGAUGCAUUAACUCAGGUUUUGUGCAUUAAGAGGCACAGAAGCCUUGCUGUGCUUUCUAAAAGUAAAUGCAGGUAUAGAAAAAUCCCCCCGUAUUUCCUUCUGUGGUACAGUGAUCUCGUCUGGCUGCAUAUAACCAGUGGGGCAAGUGUGCACAGGGAUGAACGUAACCAUCCAGAAUGAGAUGAACACUGUGUUUGUCUCCAAGUCCUUCUGAAGUGUUACUGAGCAAUUAUCAGUAAAUAUUGACAGUUCUAUAUUGACAUAUAAAUAUAUACUGUUAAAACAGCAGUUUGCUUUACAGUGAAAUUUAAUUUUCUGCUCCAGACAGAGAUGCUGCAUAUGAUGUACAGGAACAACUUAAGAUGUUUUUUUGUGAGGGGAAACAAAACAACAUGUUUGUGUGCACAAUGCCUGAGUGACAACUGCCACAAUGGAAAUCUUUCUUCUUACUGAAAGAAAGAAAACAUCUUCCACUCAUUUCUCUUGAUUUAUUGCAACAGACAGUGUACUUUGCCUCCUGAUGCAAUUAAUCAGUAGGCUUGGAAACAUCCAAGUGACACCUAAAUAAAUACAUUGAAUGAC